AUACGGAGGGGGCAAGCGUUGUUCGGAAUUAUUGGGCGUAAAGCGUAUGUAGGCGGCCGAGUAAGUCAAGCGUGUAAGCCCGUGGCUCAACCACGGAAUUGCGUUUGAAACUACCCGGCUUGAGUACAGGAGAGGAAAGCGGAAUUCCCAGUGUAGCGGUGAAAUGCAUUGAUAUUGGGAAGAACAUCUGUGGCGAAGGCGGCUUUCUGGUCUGUUACUGACGCUGAGAUACGAAAGCCAGGGGAGCGAACGGGAUUAGAAACCCCGGUAGUCC
rnacentral:rRNA from 1 species